GAUGAAGAACGUAGCGAAAUGCGAUAGGUAAUGUGAAUUGCAGAAUUCAGUGAAUCAUCGAAUCUUUGAACGCACCUUGCGCCCUUUGGCCAUUCCGAAGGGCAUGCCUGUUUGAGUAUCAUGAACACCUCAACUCUUCAUGGUUUUCCAUGAUGAGCUUGGACUUUGGGGGUCUUGCUGGCCUGUGGGUCGGCUCCUCUCAAAUGAAUCAGCUUGCCGGUUUUUGGUGGGCAUCACAGGUGUGAUAACUAUCUACGCUUGUGGUUUUCCACCAGGGUAACCUUCAGCAGUGGAGGUUCACUGGAGCUUACAAAUGUCUCUCCUCUGUGAGGACAGCCCUUUGAAUGUUUGAUCUCAAAUCAGGUAGGACUACCCGCUGAACUUAAGCAUAUCAAUAAGCGGAGGA
rnacentral:misc_RNA from 1 species